rnacentral:rRNA from 1 species
AACGAACGCUGGCGGCGCGUUUUAAGCAUGCAAGUCGAACGAUACUAUAUUAUUUUCUUCGGAAAAUAAUAUAAGAAAGUGGCGAAUGGGUGAGUAACACGUAGAUAAUCUACCUUAAGGACUGGAAUAGCCUAUGGAAACGUAAGGUAAUACCAGAUGUACUUUUUAUCUCAUAAGAGUAAAAAGAAAAGACGCGAUUGCGUCACCUGAAGAUGAGUCUGCGUCCUACUAGUUUGUUGGUAAGGUAAUGGCUUACCAAGACUAUAAUAGGUAGCCGGCCUGAGAGGGUGAUCGGCCACACUGGGACUGAGAUACGGCCCAGACUCCUACGGGAGGCAGCAGCUAAGAAUAUUCCGCAAUGGGCGAAAGCCUGACGGAGCGAUGCCGCGUGUGUGAUGAAGGCCGUGAGGUUGUAAAACACUUUUAUUACUGAAGAAUAAUUUUAAGAAGAAAUGCUUAAAAGAUGACAUUAAGUAAGGAAUAAGCCCCGGCUAAUUACGUGCC